GAUGAACGCUGGCGGCGUGCCUAAUACAUGCAAGUCGAGCGAACGGACGAGAAGCUUGCUUUUCUGAUGUUAGCGGCGGACGGGUGAGUAACACGUGGAUAACCUACCUAUAAGACUGGGAUAACUUCGGGAAACCGGAGCUAAUACCGGAUAAUAUUUUGAACCGCAUGGUUCAAAAGUGAAAGACGGUCUUGCUGUCACUUAUAGAUGGAUCCGCGCUGCAUUAGCUAGUUGGUAAGGUAACGGCUUACCAAGGCAACGAUGCAUAGCCGACCGGAGAGGCGGAUAGGCCACACGAGAGCGGGACCGCGGUCCAGACUCCUGCGAGACGCAGCAGUAGGGUAUCGGCCGCAGUGGGCGAGAGCCUGGCGGAACGACGCCGCGUGAGUGAUGAAGGUGUUCGGAUCGUAAAACUCUGUUAUUAGGGAAGAACAGAUGUGUAAGUAACUGUGCACAUCUUGACGGUACCUAAUCAGAAAGCCACGGCUAACUACGUG
rnacentral:rRNA from 1 species